rnacentral:rRNA from 1 species
UGAGUAAUGUAUGGGGAUCUGCCCGAUAGAGGGGGAUAACUACUGGAAACGGUGGCUAAUACCGCAUAAUCUCUCAGGAGCAAAGCAGGGGAACUUCGGUCCUUGCGCUAUCGGAUGAACCCAUAUGGGAUUAGCUAGUAGGUGAGGUAAUGGCUCACCUAGGCGACGAUCCCUAGCUGGUCUGAGAGGAUGAUCAGCCACACUGGGACUGAGACACGGCCCAGACUCCUACGGGAGGCAGCAGUGGGGAAUAUUGCACAAUGGGCGCAAGCCUGAUGCAGCCAUGCCGCGUGUAUGAAGAAGGCCCUAGGGUUGUAAAGUACU